rnacentral:sRNA from 1 species
GUGCAAAAGCAAAACGAAGAGAACGCAGCGCAACCGAGAAAACCAAAUCGAAGCAGCACUGCAAGCGAGAAAUAUUUUUAUUUUCUAAAAGUUUAUUGCCAAUUUUAAGGGAUUUGCGUGCAUCAGAGCAAGGAGUCAAGUGCCGGUUAGCCGAACAGCAAGCGAAAAGACUGACUACAAAGUAAGCAGCAGCAGCAUCAGCAGCAGCGAAAGGAAUUUCACCCAAGGCUAACUUCAGGAAAAAAAACUUCACUUCACUCAAAUUUCGCAACAUCAGCAACAACAA